rnacentral:rRNA from 1 species
AUUGCACGCUUGCGGCAGGCCUAACACAUGCAAGUCGAACGAGUGGCGGACGGGUGCGUAAUGUCUGGGAAACUUCCCGAUGGAGGGGGCUCACUACUGGAAACGGUAGCUAAUACCGCAUACCCUCGGAUUUUCCCAAAUGAGAUUAGCUCGUAGGUGGGGUAAUGGCUCACCUAGGCGACGAUCCCUAGCUGGUCUGAGAGGAUGACCAGCAAAACUGGAACUGAGACACGGUCCAGACUCCUACGGGAGGCAGAAGUGGGGAAUAUUGCACAAUGGGCGCAAGCCUGAUGCAGCUAUGCCGCGUGUAUGAAGAAGGCCUUCGGGUUGUAAAGUACUUUCAGCGAGGAGGCGUUACUCGCAGAAGAAGCACCGGCUAACUCCGUGCCAGCAGCCGCGGUAAUUC